rnacentral:rRNA from 1 species
CAAUAGCGAAUCUUAAUGUUGUUGCUAUUAAAAAGCUCGUAGUCGAAUUUCUGGCCGGGAAAAGCCGAUCUAACCGCGCUGCUCCUAGGUCAUCCGUCUUUGAGGGCAUGUAGGUAUUUGUUUAUCUCGUGUCGGAUCUGGCAUUUUACUUUGAAAAAUCAGAGUGUUUCAGGCAGGCUUUCGCUUGAAUACACCAGCAUGGAAUAAUGGAAUAGGGCUAGACUUACUUCUUGGUUCGUUUGACUAGCAAUGAUUAAUAGGGACAGUUGGGGGCAUUCGUACUGGACAGCUAGAGGUGAAAUUCUACGAUUUGUCCAAGACGAACUAAUGCGAAGGCAUCUGCCAAGGAUGUUUUCAUUGAUCAAGAACGAAAGUCAGGGUAUCGAAGAUGAUUAGAUACCAU